rnacentral:rRNA from 1 species
UACGGGGGGGGCAAGCGUUGUUCGGAAUUAUUGGGCGUAAAGGGUGCGUAGGCGGUGCGGUAAGUCUGUUGUGAAAUCUCCGGGCUCAACUCGGAGUCUGCAUCAGAAACUGCCGUGCUGGAGUGUGGGAGAGGUGAGUGGAAUUCCCGGUGUAGCGGUGAAAUGCGUAGAGAUCGGGAGGAACACCUGCGGCGAAAGCGGCUCACUGGACCAUAACUGACGCUGAUGCACGAAAGCUAGGGGAGCAAACAGG